rnacentral:rRNA from 1 species
GACGAACGCUGGCGGCGUGCUUAACACAUGCAAGUCGAACGGAAAGGCCCUGCUUUUGUGGGGUGCUCGAGUGGCGAACGGGUGAGUAACACGUGAGUAACCUGCCCUUGACUUUGGGAUAACUUCAGGAAACUGGGGCUAAUACCGGAUAGGAGCUCCUGCUGCAUGGUGGGGGUUGGAAAGUUUCGGCGGUUGGGGAUGGACUCGCGGCUUAUCAGCUUGUUGGUGGGGUAGUGGUUUACCAAGGCUUUGACGGGUAGCCGGCCUGAGAGGGUGUCCGGCCACAUUGGGACUGAGAUACGGCCCAGACUCCUACGGGAGGCAGCAGUGGGGAAUAUUGCACAAUGGGCGGAAGCCUGAUGCAGCAACGCCGCGUGCGGGAUGACGGCCUUCGGGUUGUAAACCGCUUUCGCCUGUGACGAAGCGUGAGUGACGGUAAUGGGUAAAGAAGCACCGGCUAACUACGUG